GGGCGGUUAGCUCAGCUGGGAGAGCGCCUGCCUUACAAGCAGGAGGUCGGCGGUUCGAUCCCGUCACCGCCCA
rnacentral:tRNA from 2 species